rnacentral:rRNA from 1 species
UAAGGAAUAUUGGUCAAUGGACGCAAGUCUGAACCAGCCAUGCCGCGUGAAGGAUGAAGGUCCUCUGGAUUGUAAACUUCUUUUAUCUGGGACGAAAACGGGAUUUUUAUCUCAAUUGACGGUACCAGAGGAAUAAGCACCGGCUAACUCCGUGCCAGCAGCCGCGGUAAUACGGAGGGUGCGAGCGUUAUCCGGAUUUACUGGGUUUAAAGGGUGCGUAGGUGGGCUUAUAAGUCAGUGGUGAAAUCUCCGAGCUUAACUUGGAAACUGCCGUUGAUACUAUAGGUCUUGAAUUAUCUGGAGGUAAGCGGAAUAUGUCAUGUAGCGGUGAAAUGCUUAGAUAUGACAUAGAACACCAAUUGCGAAGGCAGCUUACUGCAUAUAAAUUGACGCUGAGGCACGAAAGCGUGGGGAUCAAAC